rnacentral:lncRNA from 1 species
AGUAGAAACAAAGAAAUCACAAAGGGAGACAACCAUGAAGUUAUAAAACCUAGGAAAGAGAUCAGGAUUCAUAGAUACAAAACCAAACAAAUAUGAGUGUUGAACAUCUAGCUAGUGUCCUUUUUGCCAAAGUUAGGAGCAGCAGCUGGGUGGUGAUCUUCAAAGCCCUGAUGCCCACACAUUACCUCAUGGUUUAUGGAAAUGAGCAGCAUUUUAUUCAAUAUCAUGCUUCUUGAAGCUCUUUGUUUACACAAUUUCCUUGAUAAAAGUGUCAUAGAAGGUAAGAGGAGUCUGUGAUUGAGAUAUUUCUAUGUGACAAAGAAUGAAAAAUCUUUCAGGUUUUUAUGAUUUUCCUUUAUCUUUUGUAAGGCACAUGGUAUGAUGAGAACUAUGAAUACCAAUAAGCUUCUAAACACACUUCCAGUCAUUCAAAUUCAACUUGAUGCUCUUCUUAAUUUUAGUGUGAGAUCUAAUCCUAAACAACUAACCAAUGAGAUCAUACAAUCUGCUUUUAUAUUCUUCAACUUUCUUCAGCUUAUAAUGAAGGGAUCCUUAAUAUUUUUGACAAGAACAUAAAGAAGAACCACAAUGUAAGAAUAGUUUGGAUAUUUACAUCAAGUUUCAUGGAAGAAUAGCCAAAAUGACAGAAUUCCUAGAGGUUGCAGAG